UACGGAGGGUGCAAGCGUUGUUCGGAAUCACUGGGCGUAAAGGGCGUGUAGGCGGUCCGCUAAGUCUGAUGUGAAAGCCCGGGGCUCACCCCCGGAAGGGCAUUGGAAACUGGCGAACUCGAGUCCGGAGAGGAAGGUGGAAUUCCUGGUGUAGCGGUGAAAUGCGUAGAUAUCAGGAGGAAUACCGGUGGCGAAGGCGGCCUUCUGGACGGUGACUGACGCUGGAGACGCGAAAGCGUGGGGAGCAAACGGG
rnacentral:rRNA from 1 species